AGAGAGAGAGAGAGAGAGGUGAAGAUUUUUGCUUUCAUUGGAUCUUUCUGUCUGACAUCAAACAUUUCUAUGGUAGACACGGAUUUGGAACUUGAAAUCACCGUAACUACAUGGAUUGAAUUUUAAACUGAGCAAUGCAACUGAAAAGAGAUAUGGUGCAUCUUUUGCUAAUCGAUUAUUGGGGAAGUUGGUUGAUGACCUUACAUUUGCAAAAUUGGUAUGAUAACUCUAACGAUGAUAGAUUUUUAUUAAACGAAGAUUUGGGCAUACUGUUGCCUGUCAGGUUCUCUAUGAGGGAUAAUCAAGUGUUUUCUGGUUAAGUAGAGGUGAUGAAUUGCAGUUCUAUAUGUUUACAAUGGAAACAAAUUACAAAAACAGAAGAAAAGUUAUGAAGUUUUAGGAGCUUUGAAGUAUAUUUUGAUUGUGUGCUUGUAUUGACUAUUCUUAUUGAACUGAUGUAAUUUCAAUUUGUCCUUGUGUAGCAUAAUUUAAAGAGCCGGAGAG
rnacentral:misc_RNA from 1 species